UACGUAGGGGGCUAGCGUUGUCCGGAAUCAUUGGGCGUAAAGCGCGUGUAGGCGGCCCGGUAAGUCCGCUGUAAAAGUCGGGGGCUCAACCCUCGAAAGCCGGUGGAUACUGUCGGGCUAGAGUACGGAAGAGGCGAGUGGAAUUCCUGGUGUAGCGGUGAAAUGCGCAGAUAUCGUAAGGAAGACCAGUGGCGAAGGCGGGUCUCUGGACAGUUCCUGACGCUGAGGCACGAAGGCCAGGGGAGCAAACGGG
rnacentral:rRNA from 1 species